CAGCAGGGAGCCCCCCUCGGCCGUGGUGUGGGGGUUCCUCGCCGGGGGUCUCCCCUGUGCCGGCUGAAAGGAGGAAGCGGGACCCUGGGCGUUAGGGAGCGUUGGAGGAGGUGUUACGUCCGGUGUGUGGAGGGCAGCCUUCCUCCAGCUGGUCGCUGCUGGAGCAGGCUGGGCGGGACAUGAGUCCCGUCCUGGAGCCCACAGACUGCUGGUCCGACAGGAGACGGCCCGGUGAAGGCCGCCUCCUCGUUGUGAUAUCAACAAAGAGGGACAGAGUCUUCAGCUGAAUACGGUGUGGGGGCAGGAGAGAGGGGAGAGGAGAACGAGAGGAGGAGCUCAGCAGAGAGAGGUGUGGUUCUGGCCUAGUGGAGGAGCUGGAGAGAGAGAGAGAGAGAGGUGUGGUUCUGGCCCAGAGGAGGUGCUGGAGAGAGAGGGGUGUGGUUCUGGACUAGAGGAGGUGCUGGAGAGAGAGAGGGGUGUGGUUCUGGCCCAGAGGAGGUGCUGGAGAGAGAGAGGGGUGUGGUUCUGGCCCAGAGGAGGUGCUGGAGAGAGAGAGGUGUGGUUCUGGCCCAGUGGAGGUGCUGGAGAGAGAGAGGUGUGGUUCUGGCCCAGAGGAGGUGCUGGAGAGAGAGAGGGGUGUGGUUCUGGCCCAGAGGAGGUGCUGGAGAGAGAGAGAGAGAGAGAGGUGUGGUUCUGGCCCAGAGGUGCUGGAGGAGGUCUGUGUUCAGGGUCCGGGGCGACGGCUGAGGUGUGGCGGUAUUCUCCUAUCUCUAUCUUCUAUCUCCUUGCUGUCUGUCAAACUCUCCUGUCUGCACCUUCUCUGCUUCACACACUGGCUCUCUCUGAUACUCCUCCAUCAGCCCCUCCACCAUCCCCUCCUCCACCCCUCCUCCACCCUUCAGCCCCACAUCUCUCCAUCUCCUUCCAUCAUUAAUCUAUUACUCCUAUCAAUCCCUCUCGUCCACAAAUCGAGCUGAUGGAUUUGUGAUUGAUUUUAUGCAAACAAUUUCAGAUGUUAUUGUUCACCAUUAGCCUCCACCAGAAAUACACACACACACACUCACACACUCUCACACACACACACACACACCCACACAACCUCAGGAGUGAUAUUUAUAGAACAUUCAAUACCCCUGUUAUUUACACAAGGUAUUCCGCCUCAUUCUAUACAACACUCUCUGUGGGUUUAGGUGUGUGUGUGUGUGUG
ensembl:lncRNA